rnacentral:rRNA from 1 species
CCUACGGGAGGCAGCAGUGGGGAAUAUUGGACAAUGGGCGAAAGCCUGAUCCAGCAAUGCCGCGUGUGCGAUGAAGGCCUUCGGGUUGUAAAGCACUUUCAGUAGUGAGGAAGAAUACGGUAUUAAUACCACCAGUAUUUUGACGUUAGCUACAGAAGAAGCACCGGCUAACUCUGUGCCAGCAGCCGCGGUAAUACAGAGGGUGCAAGCGUUAAUCGGAAUUACUGGGCGUAAAGCGUGUGUAGGCGGAUAAUUAAGUCAGAUGUGAAAGCCUUGGGCUCAACCUAAGAACUGCAUUUGAUACUGGUUAUCUUGAGUAUGGUAGAGGAAAGUAGAAUUUCCGGUGUAGCGGUGAAAUGCGUAGAUAUCGGAAGGAAUACCAGUGGCGAAGGCGGCUUUCUGGACCAAUACUGACGCUGAGACACGAAAGCGUGGGGAGC